GAGGAACCCAUGCAAUUAGGGGUUGCCAAACUCUCUGAUGCUGAAAAAUUGUAUAGGAGAAAGGAGGGACUUUGCCUGUACCGUGGUAGGAAGGGCCAUAUGCUAAAAGAAUGUCCCGUGCUUCCAGAAAACUAUCGCACCUAAGGCCAUAUAGGGGACUGGCCUUGGAUGUGAUACCGAAGUCCCCAAAAUUGCCUCUUAACCGAUUAC